rfam:Colletotrichum sublineola strain TX430BB Scaffolds0762.1, whole genome shotgun sequence.
GGCCGGUUGGCCCAAUGGCAAGGCGUCUGACUACGAUCCCGCAACAUCUCUCUAUCUCCCCUCAGACAUUCGAGCGGGAGGCGGUGUAUCAUAAGUUAUCAGGAGAUUCUGGGUUCGACCCCCAGGCUGGUCA